AACGAACGCUGGCGGCAUGCCUAACACAUGCAAGUCGAACGAGACCUUCGGGUCUAGUGGCGCACGGGUGCGUAACGCGUGGGAACCUGCCCUUAGGUUCGGAAUAACUCUCCGAAAGGGGUGCUAAUACCGGAUAAUGUCUUCGGACCAAAGAUUUAUCGCCUUUGGAUGGACCCGCGUUGGAUUAGCUAGUUGGUAGGGUAAAAGCCUACCAAGGCGACGAUCCAUAGCUGGUCUGAGAGGAUGGUCAGCCACACUGGGACUGAGACACGGCCCAGACUCCUACGGGAGGCAGCAGUGGGGAAUAUUGGACAAUGGGCGAAAGCCUGAUCCAGCAAUGCCGCGUGAGUGAUGAAGGCCUUAGGGUUGUAAAGCUCUUUUACCCGGGAUGAUAAUGACAGUACCGGGAGAAUAAGCUCCGGCUAACUCCGUG
rnacentral:rRNA from 1 species